AACGAACGCUGGCGGCGUGGAUAAGACAUGCAAGUCGAACGGGACUAAAUCUGUAGCAAUACAGGUUUAGUUUAGUGGCGAACGGGUGCGUAACACGUGGGCAAUCUGCCGAGAAGUGGGGGAUAGCUCGCCGAAAGGCGAAUUAAUACCGCAUAUGAUCAGCUAAGACAUCUUAGCGACAUCAAAGCCGGGGAUCGAAAGACCUGGCGCUUCUUGAUGAGCCCGCGGCCUAUCAGCUAGUUGGUGAGGUAACGCUCACCAAGGCUAUGACGGGUAGCUGGUCUGAGAGGACGACCAGUCACACUGGAACUGAGACACGGUCC
rnacentral:rRNA from 1 species